rnacentral:rRNA from 1 species
CAGCCGCCGCGGUAAUACGUAGGGGGCGAGCGUUGUCCGGAAUAAUUGGGCGUAAAGGGCGUGUAGGCGGCUUUACAAGUCAGUAGUGGAAGUCCCAUUUUCAAGGUGGGGAGGGCUAUUGAAACUGUAGGGCUUGAGUGCAGGAGAGGUUAUCGGAAUUCCCGGUGUAGCGGUGAAAUGCGUAGAGAUCGGGAGGAACACCAGUGGCGAAGGCGGGUAACUGGACUGUAACUGACGCUGAGACGCGAAAGUGUGGGGAGCAAACAGGAUUAGAUACCCUGGUAGUCCACACUGUAAACGAUGAAUGCUAGGUGUAGGGGGUAUCGACCCCUUCUGUGCCGCAGUAAACACAGUAAGCAUUCCGCCUGGGGAGUACGGUCGCAAGAUUAAAACUCAAAGGAAUUGACGGGGGCCCGCACAAGCAGCGGAGCAUGUGGUUUAAUUCGAAGCAACGCGAAGAACCUUACCAGGUCUUGACAUCCAGUUAAAGUUAUAGAGAUAUGAUGUGCCAUUUGGCGAACUGAGACAGGUGGUGCAUGGCC